AUUGAACGCUGGCGGCAGGCCUAACACAUGCCAGUAGAGCGAGCGGCGGACGGGUGAGUAAUGUCUGGGAAACUGCCUGAUGGAGGGGGAUAACUACUGGAAACGGUAGCUAAUACCGCAUACCAUCAGAUGUGCCCCGAUGGGAUUAGCCAGUAGGUGGGGUAACGGCUCACCUAGGCGACGAUCCCUAGCUGGUCUGAGAGGAUGGCCAGCCACACGGGAACUGAGUCACGGUGCAGACUCCUACGGGAGGCAGUAGUGGGGAAAAUUGCACAAUGGGCGCAGGCCUGAUGCAGCCAUGCCGCGUGUGUGAAGAAGGCCUUCGGGUUGUAAAGCACUUUCAGCGGGGAGGCGUUACCCGCAGAAGAAGCACGGGCUAACUCCGUGCCAGCAGCCGCGGUAAUUC
rnacentral:rRNA from 1 species